CUUUCUUUCCUUGCUCUCUUCUCCUCCUCUCCCCUUCCAAGUCUUCUCUGUCGCAACGCUGCACCUCCCACGAUUCGAUCCAACGCACCUGCCGAUGGCGACAUCCUCUCAACUAGCCCCGCCGGUGGCCUCCAGAUCCAACCCAACACCUACCAGCUCAAGCCCAACCCCUACCCCGCAGCCAUGGCCAUGGCAGGGGGAGCCCGAAUCCCUACCCAUGGUGGCUAGGGUUUCGGUCACCUCCAACUCGAUCCGGUGCUGCUCCGGUGAAUCUCGAGCCCUCAAGCGCCGUUCCAUCUCCUAUAUGGCCUUGAUCUGCUCAAGGACGAUCGGUUCUUCGUCAACCUGCAAGGACGCGCGCCGACAGCAGGCAAUCUCCUCUCCGGCGAGCCCACCCAUGGCGACCAGGAUGGUCUCCCCCUCCCAAAUCCAGUACGGUCUCCCAAAUCUCCCUCUGCUCCUCAAGCGGCUGUUCACCCCCAACCUCCGGUCCAUGGAGCCAGCUCCAGCGUCAAGGACACAACGGAGGCAGCAGCAGCAAGCGGCUGUUGAUUGAUUGGUCACCACCAAGCUCAGGUCCAUGGAUUACUCCUUGCUGCAGCGUCAAGGGCACAAAGCUACAACCGGAGGAUGUAGGAUGCCCAGCCAUGGACGAGCAGCAGCAGCCGGAUGGAUGUGGUUUCCCUUGCUGCAAGACAUGGGUGUUGGAGAACCAAGUGGCCUUGCACGAGCUCAACCCUGGCGCUCUUCCUAAGGGCUAUGAGUUGAUGGCCACACUGCUGUUUUGCUCUGCUUGAUAAUUCUUUUACUCUCCAGUUUGCUUUGAUCUGCAUAGUUUCCAGUUGCUUAUAAAACGAUAAAACAAUGGUGAUGUGAGGUCCGACAAUGGUUUGUAAUUUUGGUUUCAUCCCCAACCUCUCCAGCUAGCUUCUUCUUCACAUAAUAUCAUAUUUGCACCUGCUGCUUCAUCAUUGAUUGGAUGGUCACCUACUAGCUAAGUAGCUUAGCUUGUAUUGCCAUCGAAUUGGUCCAGACUGUUUCACUUUGCUUAUUUCUUCUACUAGGUAUGUCACUUACAGCAUAAACAAACAAAUUGCUUAGCUCUCAACACUACAA